GAUAGAUUCCCUAAUAAAAAAAGGAGGACACGAUUGAGAGAAAUAAAUAAAUGGGGUCAAACGUGGAAAUAGUGUAUAAAUCCAAACCCAUAGCGUAAAAUAUUCCUGGUGGGUUGAUGUGUCUGAGCCUCUGUGAAGCCACUAAACGAGUCAGGUCUCUUUGGGUAAAGCGAGUCCGUCACGAACGUCUUCGUCUCCAGCGAUUCUUCUUCACGUAUAUAUAAAUCUUUCCGAUUUGUCUUUUUGCUUUUCGUUUUCCGUUUAUAUCAUCGGGAAAUUUCCCCGGAUACUUCUCCGAUUCGUUUUAAAGCCUUUUUCUACAGGAACCUUUUACUCCCCAUCUGUGAUUUUGGGUAGAUUUGGCUCCGUAUGGUUAGGGUUUGAAGGAGGUGAUUGUGGUUUCGCUCGUUGUUUUAUUUCACUGUACGUUAAGAAAAUUGGCUCCAGUUGAUUUUUUCCUAGGGUUUCUUCCUUGAGUUCUACAAAUGUCAGAAGGUUCGAGACGGAGUCGGGUCACUAUUACUCUAGGGCGUAGCGGUCAGGUACGUUUGAGGUUUUUUUUUUGUUCAUCUCAGAGUUUGUGUGUAAGUUAGGUGGAAGGAAUGUGAUAAAACUCCCAUUGAUGUAAUCUGUGAGAGGAAAAGUUUGUAAAGGAGUUUUUGAUAUGGUGCUUUCAUGAUGUUAUCUGGAUUAUGAGAAGGAUUUUGAGAUUUGGAAAUGAAAUGUAGAACUGUUAUAGGGAUGGUUGGUUAUAUGAAUGAUAUAUGCAAAUGUGUUGGUGUAUGAUUAAUGGGUUGAGUCUAGAAAACUGCUUAUUUUGUUGAUAUUUUCUUUUGCAGGUGGUGAAUCGAGCUGCAAGUGAUUUAGAUGCUGGUUAUGAGUUGCCUAGAGUUGGGACCAAGCGGUCUGUCAAAGAAAGAUUAGGAAAUCAGGUAGAUAGUUCUCUGUAUGGAAGCGAAGAAGUGGUCAGUAAAAGGUGCUUACUUUUUCUUCUUAUGUGUACUGCUGCAUAUUGAAUGUCAGGAUCUUCUUUAUUUGUUCUCUUGCUCUUACUCUUUUGAAAUUUAGGACCUUUUAUUUGUUCACGGGGUUGUGAAUUAUUGAGUAUUCAGAACUCUGGAGGAACUGAUGGGUUAUGCUUUUUGCUUCAGUUUUCAUGUUUUAAAUUUUCUUGCUUGUUGCUGCAAGGCAUUCACUAGAUUAAAGUUUUUGCUCUUUCUUUGUUUAUGCAGGCAAAGAGGGGAAGCAAGUUUCUGUGGAAAUGGUAUAGAUGUGUGAAUUACUGGAUACACACUAGCAUGUUUGCUGAAUUCUGACCCACCCCUCUUUGUUACUAAGAUUUGCAGAUCAGUCAAAAUGAUCUCCGAUUCAAACUGAUGCAGAAAAAUGCCCAGAAACGAGCUCAGAGCGAUGAAGGUAGCACUAUGGAUCUUCGUGAAAAGCUCUCCAGGAGCGAGCAGCCUCCACGUAGCCUUGAUACUCGACCUCGUAUGGCUGAGCUGAGAGAUGUCCCUUUACCUUCAUCAAGAACUGCUCGUGGUUCCUCUCAGAUGAUUUCAUCAAGUAGUUCAUAUCCUCCAUGGUCCCUGGAAGAUUUAAGACGAAGGUCUCCAGAGAGAUUUAUGGAUACUUCCAGGGGUCCAUCCCCGCCAAGAAAUGCUGGACGUACCAUUGGCAUUCCAAGGGGUCCAUCCCCCCCAAGAAAUGCUGGAAGAUUUAUUGGCACUCCAAGGGAUCUAUCACCGCCAAGAAAUACUAGAAGGAUCAUCGCCUCACCAAGGGAUCUAUCACCGCACAGAAAUGCUGGAAGGAUAAUUGGCACUCCAAGGGAUAGAUCACCUCCAAGAAAUGCUGGAAGGAUAAUUGGCACUCCAAGGGAUAGAUCACCGCCAAGAAAUGCUGGAAGGAUAAUUGGCUCUCCAAGGGAUAGAUCACCUCCAAGAAAUUCCGGAAGGAUAAUUGGCACUCCAAGGGAUAGAUCACCUCCAAGAAAUGCUGGAAGGAGAUUUGAGUCUCCAAGGGAUCUAUCACCGCCAAGGAGCACAAGAAGCUUCAGUAGUGGUUCUAGGGCUCUGUCUCCCACUAGAAAUGUAGGAAGCUACAUGGGUUCUUCUCUGGGGUUUUCACCUCCUAGGAAUCCUGGAAGCUACAUGGGUUCUUCUAGGGGUUCUCCACGUAGUAACAUUGAAGAUUUUCAUGGACGAAGCAGGAUGCUUGAUGAUGUGAGAGCGACACCAUAUACUGUUAGAGGUGUACUAAAUGGUCAAGCCCCAGCAAGUGGUGCUCCUUUCGCCAGGCCAAUGUUACCGCCUCCAGUCCCAAACCCACAUCCGUUGCCUCCUUUGAGCCAGCUUCCUCCACUUGGAAGUAUGAUGCAGAACAAUCCCUUCUCUGUAAGAUCUUUUAUCUACAUCUCAAUUUGUGGAUGAAUUUUCUCUCUUCUUGCUCUUUCUAAACUUUGGGUGAGUCCUUCAUAUGUACCUUGUGUCAUUCGUAGGCCAAAAACCUUUGUGGUCAGAUAGUCCAAACUUUUAUGCCUUGUUCAUAUACAUGUUGUAAUAUGUCAUGUAUAUCUGCUUGGUGUUACAUUAGG
rnacentral:lncRNA from 1 species